GAGUUUCUGCAAGAUUAUUUUAGGAGAUUGUUUUCUACAUAAAAAGAAAAUUGCCCAUGUGUAUACAGGUGGUAACUAUUUGGGAAGGGAAGGCUGAAUCUCCUGGUAGUUAAGAAAUGGUUUUACAGUGAAUUUGAGGGUUCUUCUCUAUUUCUUUUCCCUGUAGAGCACUUCUAUGAAGAAGUUGGGGUAUCAUAAAAGGACAAGCUUUUAUUGUAAAAUAAGACACAAUUAAAAGACUUUCUCAGGAGGAGUGGUCUUAUAUCUGGCAGCCACAUCAAGAAUGAUCACAUUGAUAAUUAUAUUAUUUAACAACCAAAUAUUUUUUGGAAAAAAACAUUAUCUGUCUUACAACUAGCUUUUUUUAAAAGGCAAAUUUUAUUUAUUAUAUUUGCAUUAAUUCUUAUGUAUAGGUAACAUAAAGAAGACUGCCAGAUGUAAAAUCCUCUUCUAGCUGCUUUGAAAGCAAAAUCAAAUAGACAAAUACUCUUCUGUUAGUAAAUGUCUUUCAGCAGAUUAGUGAAUGAAGAAAGGAAACAAUUCAAAACAACAAUUUACACACACACAGGUUCACGUAUUUCCAAUUUAAAUUAUUUAAAAUUGUACACUUUCUAAAAAGAGUACUUUUGGUUUAGAAUUUUGAAACAGGAAGAGCAGGAAGACCUGACCUUCCACAGGUAAUUAUUUGCCUCUUCACAUCUCUUAGGUUCUACCAGUGAGAAAAUGGAUUAUAUAAUGAGUAAGGUAUUUUGAAUUGCUUGUCUUGUAGAAAAUUUCUGGGCAUUGAAAUGGCAUUUCAUUGUAUUUGGUUUUAUAGAAGUCUUGAAGAGACACUACACACAAAAAUAAUCAUUCUUGCCAAAAUGAACUUGAUUUAUUUUAAACUCAUAUUGUUAUCAGUGAUGAAAUCACCAUUAGUGAAUGUAUGUUAAGUGUAUUUUCAUCCAUUUCCUUGGUGUUGUAAGUAAUCAAAAGACUUAUAAGCCCUUGUUAUUGUCUUUGCAUAAUAAAUAAUGCCAUAUGUUAAUAUAGCAAUACAUAGUAGAAGAAAGUUAACAUUAGGGUUCAAAGGAGUUCUGAUCCUCAAAAAUCAGAUCAGUUUAAAUGCUACGUAUGGUUUCAUCCAGUAAGUUUUCCAUGGACACAAUUUGGGCCUGUUCCUAGCAUUCCGAAGUACUUUGGUUUAACGAAUAUAUAUUUGAAGAAAACAAUGCACUGUGAUACAGCAAACACAAUUCCUAGAUAUAAGCACAUCAUAAACUUUAUCAAUUCUAACUUUCUCUUUUAGAAAAUGAAGGAGCUAAGGGGUUUGCCUAGCACUAUAUAAGUAGUGAGAGUAACAAGGCCAGAAUUGGAACCCUGUUUGAUUGAUGCUGUUAAUUUACAUUGUUUUGCUUUAUUCUCAGGGCAGUGGUCCUCAUCAGACUCUUGUUAUAAUCAAACAUAUUUACAGGGCAUGUGAAAUCACAGAAAACGUACGUUUUGCCAUUGUGCACACGCUGCUUCUAUGUUUAGGUAGGACACUGUGAGUUUUUAACAUCUUAUUGAAAAAAAUGGAGACACUUCACUAACUUUAGUCAUGGAGUACCUAAUUCUAGAUUAUUCAGAAUGAUAUAUUAGCAGAUUUUAGAUACAGCUUUACAAAUGCUGACUGAUUUAUCAGACUGAACAACAUGUACAUCUGGCAACCAGAAAGUCAUUGUUUGGUUUCUUUUUUCUAAUUCUGAAUACUUAUUUACUAUUUAUCAAUACCAACUUUUAGGAAUUUGUUUUAUUUCAUAGAAUAAAAUAUUGACAAAGUAGUUAACAUACAGACAGUUCUAAUGAUAAUACAUUAAUUUAAAACUUCUAUAAACAAUAUGUGAUUUAAGUGUUAUUAGAAUUAUCAUAUACACAAAGAUUAUGGUGACAGAUAUUUUCAUGUUUUAAUGUUUUAAGAUAUCUGACUGUAGUAACCUUUGUUUUCAUGGUGCAGCUUGUAAGUUAAAGAUUACUAUCUCAAUGAAUGUGUCAUUUGAAUCCUAAAGAGACACCCAUAUAGUGUGAGGAAUUUUGUUCCCUUUUAAAUGGACUUUAUUUUUUAGAGCAGUUUUGGGUUCACAGCAAAGUUGACUAAAAAGUACAGAGUUGCCAUAUAUCCCUUGUUCCCACACAAGCACAGCCUCCCCAGCUAUCAAUAUCUAGCAACAAGCUGGUGCAUUUGUUAUAAUUAAUGAACCUACUUUUACACAUUAUUAUCACCCAAAGUGAACUGUUUACGUUAGUGUUCAUUUUUCUAUAUUCUGUGGGUUUUGACCAAUGUCCCCACAAUUGUAGUAUUCUGUAGAAUGGUGUCACUGUCCUAAAAACUGCCUGAGCUUUGUCUAGUUAUUGAUCUUUUUACUGCUGUGAUAGUUUUGUGUUUUCUAGAAUGUCAUAGAGUUGGAAUCAUAAUAUAUAUCCUUUUCAAACUGGCUUCUUUCACUCAGUAAUACACAUUAAAGAUUCCUCAAUGUCCUUUCAUUUCUUGACAGCUCAUUUCUUCCUGGGCACUGAAUAAUAUUCCAUGACGUACCACAACUUAUUUACCCAUUUACUUACUAAAGAAAUUCUUGGUUUCUUCCAAGAUUUGACAAAUAUAAAUAAAGCUGCUAUAAGCAUUUUGUGUGGAGAUUUUUGCACGGAUAUGCAUUUUCAACACAUUUGGGUAAAUAAUACCAAGGAACGUGAUUGCUGGAUUGCAUAUCAUAAUAAGUCUGUGUUUUGCUUUCUAAGCAACUAACCGUCUACUAAAGUGGCUGCACAAUUUUGCAUUCCCACCAACAAUGAAUGAAGAAUUGUUGUUCCACAUCCUCAUCAGCUCUUGGUGUUGUCAGUUGUCUGACUUUUGACCAUUCUAAUUUUAUCUCAUUGUUGUCUUAAUUUACAUUUCCCUGAUGACAUGUAAUGUGGAUCAUCUUUCCAUAUAUUUAUGGCCAUACAUAUACCUUCUUUGCUGAGGUUAUCUGUUUAGGUCUUUCCCUCUUUUUUAUCCAAAUGUUCAUUUUCUUUUUGUUGAAUUUUAAGAGUUCUUUGUAUAAUUUAGGUAAAAAUCUUUUAUUAGAUUUGUUUUGUUUUGUACUUAUUCUAUGCCAGUCUAUGGCUUGUUUUCCCAUUUGCUUGACAGUGUCAUUUACAGAGCAGAAGUUUUUAAUUUUAAUUAAGUCUAGUGUAUAAUGUUUUUUUAAAAUAGUGCCUUUGGUGGUACCUGUAUAAAGUCAUCUCCAUGCCCAAGAUCAUCUAGAUUUUCUAUGUUAUCUUCUCAGAAUUUUUGUUUUGCAUUUUACAUUGAGGUAUAUGAUCCAUUUUGAUUUAAUUUUUGUGAAGGUUGUAAGGUCUGUAUCUAGAUCAUUUAUUUGCACGUAAAUGCCCACUUGUUCCACCACUGUUUCUUGAAAAGACAAUAUAUGAAAGAUUUUUUAAAAUCACCUACAAUUUAAAAAUAAUUUAUUUAUUUACAAUAUAUUUCAUUUUAG
rnacentral:lncRNA from 1 species